rnacentral:rRNA from 1 species
GUCUACUGCCACACCACUCAGAAUGCACCUGAUCUCGGAAACCAAGAAGGGUUGGCCUGGUUAGUACUCGGAUGGAAACAGCUAUCUGAGGAAAUCCUGGUCUAAAUA